GUUCCUGUAGUUCUGUAACAUUAUAUCUUUGUAGAGACUCUUCUGGGAAGGAUCCAGCAAAGUCCACUCUUUCUGAAUUUCAGGUUCUGCAUGUAAGGAGCUUGGGUGGUAUGAUUUUCACCAUCACAAGAAAGAAAACAAAACAAACUGAAAAUCAACAACUCUUCUUGGACCCAUCGACUCCCCAGGAAUGGAAAUCAUUUGAAUACUAAGUAUCAUAUUUCCUAGAGCAGGAGCCCAGGAUGAGAAAUCUGCAGCCAGAGCCAACAUCUGGAAGAACUCACUUAAGAAAACAGAAAACCACAGUUACAUGAAGACAGUGACAGAUACUGACUAAAGAGAUGCUGCCGAAGCCAUCGGUUUAGAAAAGAUCCGAGGAGUUGUAUUAGGAGAGCUAAGUGGAAUGGCGGCAGCGGCCUAAACACAUAACACACUGGAAAACGAAGCUGACACAGGACUGGCGCUGCCCGUGAUUCUUCUAAAGGAGCUGAUACCUACUAUUAAUAGGGUAAAUAAAACCAGAUUCAGAG
ensembl:lncRNA LOC103692103 uncharacterized LOC103692103